CACGAUCGUUGCCAUUUUAGCAACUACCGUGUAUGAAUCAUGCACCACCGUUGUCAUUUUUUUUACUCGUGUGCAAUCGGCUGCAUAUUUACCAUUUUUUCCGUGUUAUUGAAAGAGAAAGGACGCAUUGUGCAAAAAAUUUAUUGAAAAUGAAUAAUAAUUCGCAAGAUCCUCAAAAUAUCAUUGGUGAGUUGUUAGAAAUCGAUGGCAAUAUUGUUGUGGUUCGCGAUACAAACCAUUGCAGCAGUCAAGAUGCGGAAAACAAUGAGGACGAUUAUAUGUUAAGGGAGUUCUUAAAAGGAAUAAAUAUGGAGUCGCUUUUUGAACAAUUAAAAGCAUCACAUGUAACAUUUCGCAGCUUGCAGUACUUGAAAAAAGAAGAUUUAAAGGAAGCAGUGCCACCAUUGGGACUGCGUGUUGAAUUCAGAGAAAAGCUCUUUGCUUGGAAAAAACGAAAGCUCGGGAUUGAUGACGAAACUAUGUCAGUUCCAUCUAAAAUAGGUGAAUGGUGGAAACGCAACGAGACACCUGCAAGUACUCCUGGUACUCCCGACACUACAGGUUCGAACUGCUCAAAAGCCAAAGGAAUUUUGUCAGAGGAUCUAACGGAAUUGUUAACACAUACCUCGAAGGGGAAACUAGCGCUUGAAUGUAGUAGCGUUAAUAAGAAAUUAAGUGACGAGCAAAGAGAUGAUAUAAUUAAUAUAAUUAUUGAAGAUAUUUUAACCAACAAUGUUACUCUUUACACUCAAGACUAUAUGCGCAUAUUGGAUGAAAUUUGUUCCGUUUUUCCUCUUGAAAACGAAAUGAGGGUAAGAUUAACAAUAUAAACAACGUAUCUGAUUAUGUAGUUUCUUAACUUAUAAUAUGUCUUUAUUUUUAGGAUUAUUAUUACAUUUCAAGAAAAGGAAAGAACAACGCAAGCGGAAAACUUUAUGCCAAGUAUAGAAACAAGAAGUCCAAAAGAAUAAAGCUUUUGAUUUCCGAGCCUAGCACAAGCAAAGCAGCAACUCACACAUCUCCUAAUUUUUGUAACAAAGAUGUUCCCGAAAUUGAUGAAUCAGUUGAAAAUUCAUUGAAAGCUUCCUUACUAAGAGAAUGUAAUGAUUGGGGAUCGAUCUGCGAAAAAUGGAAAAGAUCUUUUAACAUACGGCAAAGAGAUAUAAAAAAUUUAAGUAGCCAUACAUUUCUCCUUGAAUGGACGAAGUUGUCCGAUGCAAGAGCUUCAGAAUUGGUCAACAUUGAUUUCGAUAUUAUGUAUCCACAGAAAGGCAAUCUUCUACUUUCUAAAUGGGACCAAUUUAAGAAAAAAAUUUACAAUUAUUAUGGGAAAAAUAUUCAUAACGAACAUUGCAAACAACUCUUCGCAAAUGUUUUGACGGCAAGCAGCAUAGAUGCUCAAGAUUAUAUAUACGCAAUACUGUUGAAUUCAGUUUUACCAUCACCUGCUAGGUUUAAAUGUGGAAACGGUAAAUUACGAAAAAAAGUAACAAUAGCUGAUUCGCAGGAAAGUUUCGUACUGCGACUACCGACAAUUAACGAUUAUAAAAGGCAAAUUGAUACAGUCACUGAAAAGUAUUACAAUGCUGGAUUAACUAUACAGCCAUUUAUAAUUGUGGAGGGUUUGUCCGAUUUCAAUAUAAAAGGUUUUUAUGUUUUUUUUAACCACAAUUUGUUAAAAUUUCAAUCGUUCCUCGAAUGUUUAGAUACAUGUUUUAAAAUUUUUCAUGCACUUUCUUUAAAAUAUCCAAAUGCCUGCCAAAUUCCAUGGAUUUUUAUCCAAAAAUAUUUUUAUGAAAUUAAUACUGUAUAUGAUAUAAAAUCAGUUAAUUUGACUUCACUUAUUAAUUUCUGCAACAAUAAUUAAAGUACAAUUCAAAAUGUAUAUUUGCUUUCGUUGCCGUAAGCAUUUUGAUAAGGCAAAUCUUUUAAUAGCUCAUUUGAAAACAGACCAUUUAAUGUCCACUAAAUUUUUAAAAGUACAAUGCGUUCAGGACAACUGUAAGCAAACAUUUACAAAAUUUACGUCAUUCAGAAUUCAUUUAGAAAAACUUCACAAGAAUCACACAAAAGCUCCACCAAUGGUUAAAGCCAUUAAUGUGCCAGUUGAAAUGUCAUCAUCAAAAGAAAAUGAUUAUACAAACAGUGAAACUGUUAUUAACAACAAUACAAUAGAAAAGGAUUUAAAUGUUUUGAAAAAGAAAACCUUAUAUCUGUCUUUACAAUUACAUGGUCAAAGCUAUAUGCCUAGAAAUCAUGUUAUAGAAAUACAACAUUCUGUUUCAAUUCUGCUUUCAUCCAUUUCAUGUACAAUUGAAAAAUAUAUAACUGAUCAUCCAAAUUAUGAAGACUUAAGGUACUUACUAAACUUUUGUAAAAAUCCUUUCGAAGAAACUAGAACGGAAUAUAGACUUUUAAAAAUUUUAAAAGAACUAAACUUUUAUGAUGAUCCAAAGGUUUAUGUAAUUAGCAAUCAAGUCUCGGAAAUUGUUAUCAGCGGAAAUCCCAGUUUAGGUCCAAAGUUAUCCAAUAUUUAUAUAAUGCCACUGAAAUUCAUGAUAAGUGCCCUUUUUAAAAUUCCAAAUCUCUUAGAUUUGACAUUAGAAAACUCCAAAAAAAUCCUAAAUUCACCUGUUUUACAAAAUUUUACAAACGGUGAGUUAUAUAAAACUAAAUUAUUAAAAUAUCAGUACAAUUUAGUUAUUCCCUAUGUCCUUUACAUGGAUGAUUUUCAAAUUAAUAAUCCUCUUGGAACCCAUACAUUUUCCAUAUGUGGUUGUUAUAUUAGCUUUCCUUCAAUGCCACAGCACUUGUUGUCAAAACUUGAUUAUAUAUUAACUGCUGCGUUUAUACCAUCAAAGGAUUUAAAAGAACGUGGAAAUGAAGUUUCAUUUCACAAUCUUGUAGAAGAGUUAAAAAUUCUAGAAGAAGGGGUUGAAAUUUGUGUUCAACAAAGUGUUCAGAAGGUGCAUUUUAUUUUAGGUGUAAUUAUUGGAGAUAAUUUAGCAGUUAAUAGUAUUUUAGGCUACGUGCAAUCAUUUAACUCUAAAAGAUUUUGCCGGGUAUGUAGAAGA